UUUUCAAUGCAACUUAAAAUGGGUACAUUUCAGCUGAAAUGUGUUGAUGUGCUUCUUAAUACUGACCAUUUAUGUUUUUGCAUAUCAGGAUUUAUUCAUAACUUCUGCAAAAUGGUCAGGAAUACCUGUUUUGGAGUUGCCAUUGACAUGAAGCUGUGCAGAGAAACCAAGCUGAAAACCCAGUGGCCUCUUCACAAAUACCAUCUGCAUUCACAGCGUUCAUCCUACAGCUUCUGUUUUGUGAAGAUGGGUGCAGAAAUGGAAAGCAACCAACAUUGAGUGGAAGAGAAAGAGUGAGGAUGAAGAUGAGAGGGGAUCCAUAACACCAUAACAGAGGAUGGGUAGGAAGAAGUAGG